ACGCUGGCGGCACGCCUAACACAUGCAAGUCGAACGAAGUAGCAAUACUUAGUGGCAGACGGGUGAGUAACAUGUAGGUAUCUGCCCUUUGGCCUGGAAUAACACGAGGAAACUUGUGCUAAUACCGGAUAAGUCUUUACGGAGAAAGCUUUAUGCACCAUUGGAUGAGCCUGCACUUGAUUAGUUUGUUGGUGGGGUAAUGGCCUACCAAGACUGUGAUCAAUAGCUGAUUUGAGAGGAUGAUCAGCCACAUUGGGACUGAGACACGGCCCAAACUCCUACGGGAGGCAGCAGUGGGGAAUCUUGCACAAUGGAGGAAACUCUGAUGCAGCGAUGCCGCGUGAGUGAAGAAGGCCUUUGGGUUGUAAAGCUCUUUCGUCGGGGAAGAAAAUGACUGUACCCGAAUAAGAAGGUCCGGCUAACUUCGUGCCAGCAGCCGCGGUAAUACGAAGGGACCUAGCGUAGUUCGGAAUUACUGGGCUUAAAGAGUUCGUAGGUGGUUGAAAAAGUUAGUGGUGAAAUCCCAGAGCUUAACUCUGGAACUGCCAUUAAAACUUUUCAGCUAGAGUAUGAUAGAGGAAAGCAGAAUUUCUAGUGUAGAGGUGAAAUUCGUAGAUAUUAGAAAGAAUACCAAUUGCGAAGGCAGCUUUCUGGAUCAUUACUGACACUGAGGAACGAAAGCAUGGGUAGCGAAGAGGAUUAGAUACCCUCGUAGUCCAUGCCGUAAACGAUGUGUGUUAGACGUUGGAAAUUUAUUUUCAGUGUCGCAGGGAAACCGAUAAACACACCGCCUGGGGAGUACGACCGCAAGGUUAAAACUCAAAUGAAUUGACGGGGACCCGCACAAGUAGUGGAGCAUGUGGUUUAAUUCGAAGAUACGCGCAGAACCUUACCAACACUUGACAUGUUCGUCGCAACUCUAAGAGAUUAGAGUUUUCGGUUCGGCCGGACGAAACACAGGUGCUGCAUGGCUGUCGUCAGCUCGUGUCGUGAGAUGUUGGGUUAAGUCCCGCAACGAGCGCAACCCUCACUUUUAGUUGCCAUCAUUAAGUUGGGCACUCUGAAAGAACUGCCAGUGAUAAGCUGGAGGAAGGUGGGGAUGACGUCAAGUCCUCAUGGCCCUUACGUGUUGGGCUACACACGUGCUACAAUGGUAUCUACAACAGGAAGCAAGACGGCGACGUCAAGCAAAUCCCUAAAAGAUACCUCAGUUCGGAUUGCACUCUGCAACUCGAGUGCAUGAAGCUGGAAUUACUAGUAAUCGUGGAUCAGCGUGCCACGGUGAAUGCGUUCCCGGGUCUUGCACUCACCGCC
rnacentral:rRNA from 1 species